GUCUUGUAAUUGGAAUGAUGGAAAUUUAAACCCUUUUUAAAGUAUCAAUUGGAGGGCAAGUCUGGUGCCAGCAGCCGCGGUAAUUCCAGCUCCAAUAGCGUAUAUUAAAAUUGUUGCAGUUAAAAAGCUCGUAGUUGAAGUUCUGCUAAAAGUAACCGGUCUGCUUUUAAUAAAAGUGGUAUCUUGGUGUGUAUUUAGCAAUGAUGUCCUUUGAAGUGUUUUUUACUUUAUUGUAAUAAAGCAUAUUCAGGACUUUUACUUUGAGAAAAUUAGAGUGUUUCUAGCAGGCUGACGCUUUGAAUACUGCAGCAUGGAAUAAUAAGAUAGGAUUUUAGUUCUACAUUAUUGGUUUUAAGAGCUAAAUUAAUGAUUGAUAGGGACAGUUGGGGGCAUUUGUAUUUAACUGUCAGAGGUGAAAUUCUUAGAUUUGUUAAAGACAAACUACUGCGAAAGCAUUUGCCAAAGAUGUUUUCAUUAAUCAAGAACGAAAGUUAGGGGAUCGAAGACGAUCAGAUACCGUCGUAGUCUUAACUAUAAACUAUGCCGACUAGAGAUUGGAGGUCGUCUUUAUAAACGACUCCUUCAGCACCUUGAGAGAAAUCAAAGUCUUUGG
rnacentral:rRNA from 1 species